rfam:Gossypium hirsutum cultivar TM-1 chromosome 9, whole genome shotgun sequence
CACGUCAACGCGCUUUACUGGCGUGGCAACAAAUCGCGUCCUCGAGGGGGCAAUUUGUUGCCACAUCAGCAAAGCACGCUAACGUGG